rnacentral:rRNA from 1 species
GAUGAACGCUGGCGGCGUGCCUAAUACAUGCAAGUCGAGCGAAUGGAUUAAGAGCUUGCUCUUAUGAAGUUAGCGGCGGACGGGUGAGUAACACGUGGGUAACCUGCCCAUAAGACUGGGAUAACUCCCGGAAACCGGGGCUAAUCCCGGAUAACAUUUUGAACCGCAUGGUUCGAAAUUGAAAGGCGGCUCCGGCUGUCCCUUACGGAUGGACCCGCGUCGCAUUAGCUAGUUGGUGAGGUAACGGCUCACCAAGGCAACGAUGCGUAGCCGACCUGAGAGGGUGAUCGGCCACACUGGGACUGAGACACGGCCCAGACUCCUACGGGAGGCAGCAGUGGGGAAUCUUCCGCAAUGGACGAAAGUCUGACGGAGCAACGCCGCGUGAGUGAUGAAGGCUUUCGGGUCGUAAACUCUGUUGUUAGGGAAGAACAAGUGCUAGUUGACUAAGCUGGCACCUUGACGGUACCUAACCAGAAAUCCACGGCUAACUACGUGCCAGCAGCCGCAGUAA